CUCUCUCUCUCUGGCGAUUCCAGAUCCAGAUCUGGAUCUAGGGUUUCUCUGCUAUCUCUCUCGCGAUCCAAGCUAUUCAGAUCCGCCUUUCCAUCUGCUCUCUCUCUCUCUCUCUCUCGCACGAUCCAAGCGAUUUAGAUCCAAGAGAUUCAGAUCUAGAUGUUGUGUGUGCGAUUCAGGGUUUAAGCAUGUUUAAAACUAGGGUUUCAGGAGAUCGUGAGACGAGGAAAAGUGGGGAUUUCACCAGAUCUAGGGUGUUACUUUCAUUCGAUUUCGAAUCCAUGACCCCAUCCCGUGACAGUGUGGUGCGCAGAUGGAUCCCUAGCCGUCGCAUCUGGUGAACCCGCACAUAAUAACUCUUUUGACUUGUUUCCUAACCUGACUUUCGGCUCAUCUUUCCUAAAUCGUUAUCUUUAUGUUUAUUGUUUUCCGCCCAUAACUGGCAGCACGGUGGCGGUGGAGUGAGGAAACAGUCAAACAGAAGAGACACAAGUGGAGGAGUGGAAUAUUGACGCUUGGUAAUCGAGUGAUGAUUUUAAGAUGAAGAAUUGAGUAUUAUGGUCUUUAGGGGAGCUUAUCUUGAUGAUAACGGGAAUCCGGUUUUUCUUAAUUGUGUUAGAGAAGCUGAGGGAUGGAUUGUGGAAAUCUGAACAUCAGAACAUUUGUCAUGUACUGAUUUCCAGGACAAUGGUUGCCAUAAAACAACUAUCUUCAAGAUCGAAACAAGGAACAGAAUAAUUUCUAGCCGAAAUUGCCACGAUUUCCAUGUUAAAUCAUGAGAACCUGGUCAAACUUAUUGGAUUUUGUGCUCACGAGCUGCUGUGUUUGGUUUACGAAUACAUGACAAACAAUAGUCUAUCUCAUGCCCUUUCUGGCGCCAAGGGGAGGCUGACAUGGCCUGUGAGGGUACAAAUAUGAAAUGGUUUAGCUCGAGGCUUGGCUUAUUUACAUGAAGAUUCAAAUGUUCAAAUAAUACAUAGAGAUAUCAAGCCUAGCAAUGGCAAGUUUUCAGCAAAGAUAAAUCUCUCACAAUCAAAAACAGAAUUGAUCAGAUUCGGGCAUGGAUCAACGUGGAGGCACGAGCAAUCUUGAUGUAUUAUAGAAGUGUCUUCCAUUGGAACUAGAUACUCGAAACUAUGACAAGUACUCGUGAAGUUUUAUAAAUUUAAAAGAAAGUUUUACAUAUAAACUUCUACAUGUGAAAUCGCAGAUUGCACCACAUAUUUGGGAACCUUUAACUAGCAAAUUUCAGGUUGUGAGGCUUUAAGAUGUUCGUUGUCGAUUUGUUGUUUAGCCAUGGUAGCAUAUGUUUUAACGUUUUCGGAGACGACCCUGACGUCAACUUGCCUUCCAUAUUCAUACUAUUCAUACUGAUCUAUACUUCUCACACCACUGUCGCCCUCCCAAAAACUAUCAUGUAAGCAUGUUUUUGCAAUCUACUUCUCACACCACUAACGAUUUCUUGUGCUAAAUCUUCACUGGAAACAAACGAAACUCAUAUUUUAAUAAAAAUACAUGGUCAAUGUGGAGGUGGGAAACAAACAAAACUCUUAGUAUAAGAAAAUACAUGAGGAACGUAAUUGUGGAUUACGUGUAUAAA
rnacentral:lncRNA from 1 species